rnacentral:lncRNA from 1 species
GUGUUUUUCUAUGUUGUGAUGUUAUUCUAUUAUAUCAGAAAAGGGAGAAGGUUUGGUACCAUUAAAACGUUUAAUCCCGCUGCAAUUGUUUGCACCUGUCCUUAGUCAAGAUUCUGAUGUUCAGUGGUUGUCGUCUGUCUACGUGGUUCAUAAGUGUUUCUCGUUUCUCAUUUUUAUAUAGAUUAGACCGUUGGUUUUCCCGUUUCAAUGGUAAUUUUUGGAGACCUUUAUAACUUGCUGUUCGGUGUGAACCAAGGUUCCGUGUUGAAGGCCGUACCUUGACCUAUAAUGGUUUACUUUUAUAAAUUGUCACUUGGUUGGAG